AGCUGUGCUGGGGAAUUCUGGGAAAUGUUGAUCUGGAGCUCCAGGUAGUAGCCGGGACUUCCGGCCCAGGGCUCGAGAUUAUUCCCGCAUUUACCUUGCUGGUGGCUGGCAGACUCCAGCUCCGAGGACUGUAUCCACGAAGAGGAUGAAAGCCCCAUUCUGGUUCCCUUGCCUGGGCCACAUGGGAGCCCAGGGUUUUAUUCACCCACAGGUGCCAGCAACUGUGGGCUGCCUCAAAAGGCACAGGUGACCGGGGACCAGGAGUGGAGAAGAAGGGAGGCUCGUUCAGGUCGUCCUGUUCCUGCCAUCUGCCUUCCAAGCAUUUUGAUAGUUUCUCUGUUGGCUUGUGCCUCUUUCUCAUAUUGAUUUGUAAGACUUCUUUUUGUAAUUGAAUAUAAGCCCCCUGUCAAGUGUAUAUAUAUAUAUAUAUAUUGUAAAUAUCUUCUCCCAUGCUGACUUACCUGUUCAUGGUCUUUUGACUUGUUUUUUAAAUAAAAUUUCAAACCCAUGUAAAAGUAGACAGAAUAAUAUGAUGAACCGUCAUAUGCUUACCAGUGUGUUCCAACAAUU